rfam:Candidatus Lloydbacteria bacterium RIFCSPLOWO2_12_FTLL_51_9 rifcsplowo2_12_scaffold_5370, whole genome shotgun sequence.
CAGAGACCCCAAGCGUUAUCCGGAAUCACUGGGCGUAAAGGGUGUGUAGGCGGCUUUAUUAGUCUUUUGUUAAAGGCCACGGCUUAACCGAGGAAAGGCAAAAGAAACGGUAAGGCUUGAGAGUGCGAGAGGUCUAUGGAACUCAUGGUGUAGGGGUGAAAUCCGUUGAUAUCAUGGGGAACACCAAAAGCGAAGGCAAUAGACUGGCGCAUUUCUGACGCUGAAACACGAAAGCGUGGGUAGCGAACAGGAUCGAGAGUAUCUGGUCCCCUCCGAAAGCAAUUUCGGAGCGCAAAACUUCAACAAUCAAAAGGAAGUUGGAGAGAAAAAUUUGGCUAUAUGCUGGAACAUCCGAGUAUCUGACAUUACUCCGUCGCGGAGUUAUAAUAUGUUCAGUGCGGACAAUCAGCAGGGAAGACUUGGAAAUCUUGAUAGAGGGUGGGAGACGAAUAGGUUCUUACCAAUACAGUGCUUGUACACACUGCAUUGAGUUGGGAGAUUGAGAAAUCAAUCGAACAUCGAGGGGAUGACAACCGAUGUAAAAUACCCCGUCACUCCUUGUGGGAGUAUGACCACCCUCCCUCUAUCAAGAUUUCCAGGAACCCUCAGAGACUACACGCCAAACUUCCGUUUGCACGGAAGAUGAUAUAGUCCGACCUCUAUGGCGACAUAGAGAAUCAAUCUCCUUAUCGGGGGUGAUUGAUAUUCUCGCAAGAGAAAUAACAAAAUGUAGAUACCCUGGUAGUCCACGCCCUAAACGAUGUUCUCUCGCUCUUCGGAGUAUCGACCCUCUGGGGGGCAAAGCUAACGCGUUAAGAGAACCGCCUGGGAAGUACGAGCGCAAGCUUAAAACUCAAAGGAAUAGACGGGGACUUGCACAAGCGGUGGAUUAUGUGGCUUAAUUCGAUGACAAACGAAGAACCUCACCAGGGCUAGACAUGCUACUGAACUCAUUAGGAAACUUUUGGGGCCUCACAAGGGCAGUAGCACAGGUGAUGCAUGGCCGUCGUCAGUUCGUGGCUUGAGUUGUUCCCUUAAGUGGGGAAACGAACGCAACCCUUGCCGUCUGUUAUACGUGUCAGACGGAACUGCCCAGCCCUUUGCUCGCGAAGCGAGCAAAGGAAAUCAGAAAUCUGAAUACCUGCCUGCGGCAGGCAGGUCGAAAUCCGAAACAAAUUCAAAAUUCAAAGCACAAAAUUUGAAAUACAUGUUUUGUGCAUUUGGGUUUAGAACAUUUAAACAUUGUUUCGAAUUUCUAAUUUUGUAUUUCGAGAUUCCUUUGCGUUUACGCGCAAAGGGCUGGGAGGAAGGCGGGGAUGACGCCAGGUCAGCACGUCCCUCUGAUGCCCUGGGCUGCACACAUAAUACAAUGGUUACUACAACGGGUUGCGACGGAGUAAUCCUGAGCUAAUCCUUCAAAAGUAAUCUCAGUUCGGAUUGGGGGCUGCAACUCGACCCCAUGAAGCCGGAAUCGCUAGUAAUCGCGGGUCAGCUAUACCGCGGUGAAUACGUUCCCAAGUCUUGUACUCACCGCCUGUCACGUCAAGGGAGCCGGGAGUGCCCGAAGUCCCCGCUUUGCGGGGCCUAAGGCAAGUUCGGUGACAGGGACGAAGUCAUAACAAGGCACGGGUAGGGGAACCUGCUCGUGGAUUCAUUACCUA